rnacentral:rRNA from 1 species
UACGUAGGGUGCAAGCGUUGUCCGGAAUUAUUGGGCGUAAAGAGCUCGUAGGCGGUUUGUCGCGUCGGCUGUGAAAACCUGAGGCUCAACCUCGGGCCUGCAGUCGAUACGGGCAAACUAGAGUUCGGUAGGGGAGACUGGAAUUCCUGGUGUAGCGGUGAAAUGCGCAGAUAUCAGGAGGAACACCGAUGGCGAAGGCAGGUCUCUGGGCAUUAACUGACGCUGAGGAGCGAAAGCAUGGGGAGCGAACAGG